GAAUGAGCAGAGUGCAUCUUACAGGAAAGGUUUGAGAAAACAUUGCACCACCUCACUGGAUUCACCACAUGAGGGCAUUAUCAUCCAGUCACGACCCAUUUCUUCCAUAUUCACAGGAUAUCUGUUGUCGGCCAAAGAUUUUUACCUUUACCUCUUCCCUGAGUGUCACUGAUACUCAGAGAGCAGAGAUCAGUUGAUCAUGGUCUUCACUCCAGGCUUUGUACUUGUGAUCUUAUUGGCUUUGGGGCAGACGGAUGGAGACUCGGUGGAUCAGACGGAAGGCAGCCUAGCCCUUGUUGAAGAGAAGGAGCUCCUUCUCAACUGUACUUAUGUAACUAGUGACUCUUCGCCUACUCUUUUCUGGUACAUCCAGUUGCCUGGGGAAGGCCCUCAGCUCCUCCUGAAAACCACAUUUGGGAACGAACAGAAGGUAACUGGAAAUGAUUUUUAUGCCAAACUCAAUAAAACUGAGAAGUCUUUCCACCUGAGGAAACAAGCCAUCACCGUGGGAGACUCGGCCAUGUACUACUGUGCUGUGAGUGACACAGUGACAGGGGCUGCAGGGGGAGCUGUACAUAAACCCCUGAUGGACCCAGCAGCCACCAGCUGGAAGCAGAGUUGCCUUCUCUCCCUCAUCCACAGACACACACCAGCCCUGGGUCAUCUCCAAGGAGAUGGGAAACUCCAGGCCCUGAUGACUGAUGCACUCAUCAUGGCCAGUGGAUGGAAAAGGCUGGAGGAUUUUGUGACCAGUGGCCACCUGUACAUGGGAUCCUCAUGA